CCGGCAUUGCUAGGGUGAGCCUUAUCUCCUCCAAGUGCAGAACAGAUCCUGCACACGGUCACCGUGAACACUGAGGCCAGGCCCCGGCCACCAAUGCACUGAUCCCUGAGCCUGCUGUUUUCAAAAACUGUAAAAGCAAAGAAUGCCAAGAG